GAAUAUUGGACAAUGGGCGAAAGCCUGAUCCAGCCAUGCCGCGUGUGUGAAGAAGGUCUUCGGAUUGUAAAGCACUUUAAGUUGGGAGGAAGGGCAGUAAGCGAAUCCCUUGCUGUUUUGACGUUACUGACUGAAUAAGCACCAGCCAACUAUGUACCACUCGCCGCGGUAAUACAGAGGGGGCAAGCGUUAAUCGGAAUUACUGGGCGUAAAGCGCGCGUAGGUGGUUCGUUAAGUUGGAUGUGAAAUCCCCGGGCUCAACCUGGGAACUGCACCCAAAACUGGCGAGCUAGAGUAGGGCAGAGGGUGGUGGAAUUUCCUGUGUAGCGGUGAAAUGCGUAGAUAUAGGAAGGAACACCAGUGGCGAAGGCGACCACCUGGGCUCAUACUGACACUGAGGUGCGAAAGCGUGGGGAGCAAACAG
rnacentral:rRNA from 1 species